UUCUUGGAAUGACUUAUAAUUUGAGGUGGAGGAAGUAUUUAACAAUAGGUUGUUGACAUUGCCCGGCACUUCACAGGACAGAUGUAGAACAAGGCUUUUAUUGUUAGAAGAAAAGAAAAUAAGGCAACGUGGCAUGCAGGGGAUAGACGGACAAAGUCUGCCACGCCUAAACUUAAGGUCGCCACAAGAUCUUUGGCCAGCGUUUGGUUCAGCAUCCAGCUUCGGUAUGCCACAGCCACGGAAUCAUCUCGCCACAAAUUUUCUUCCCAAAAAGUGUGGCGGACGUUUUUGCCGCCGCAGCCCGUCGUGGCGCGCCGCAACCCAAAAAAAAUCACUGCAGUAGAAAUAUCCCGAGGCCCAUCUUGUACUACCUCUGUCUGCUAGAUUUUUUCUUCUAUAUUUUUUAAUUCCAUUAUUUAUGUAUGGACAUUUGACAUUUUUCUGUGAUUAGUAGAAUCCAGUAAAAAAUUUGGCUGGGUUGUACUGAUCCAUGCUUGGCUAGUUGCUGGUUUUAUAAUUACUAUUGUAAUCUGAAUCUCCUAGGCUUAAAUCUUCUAUAUAUGUUAUUCUAUGGAAAAUGGGUGUGAUCUUACUGUGACAAUGAGGUUUUUUUCAUUUAUUUGUGGCCGCAAACCAAACAGAUACCACAACAUUUUGCCAUACUUUUGUGGUAGUAAUCCAAACAGCUGCCACACUUAUUUUGCCAAAUCUUAGUCACUAACCAAACACCCUGUUUUUGCCACAGUUUGUGGCUUGCCACACUUAUGGCUGCUACUUAA